GGAUUUUAUNGGGGUUUAAAAGGGAGCGCAGGGCGGAAUGNUAAAGCNUGCCGUGAAAGCGCGGGNUUNAACCCCNNAACAGCGGCGCGAACNGGCGUUNUUGGUUUGCGGGAAGGGGAGGCNGAACUCGUGGUGUAGCGGUGAAAUGCAUAGAUAUCACGANGAACUCCGAUCGCGAAGGCAGCCUCCCGGCCCGUCAACGACGNUCAUGNUCGAAGGCGCGGGUAUCAAACAGGAUUAGAUAACCCUGGUAGUCCGCGCGGUAAACGAUGAGUGCUCGGGAUUUGCCCCUUGGGGUGAGUCCCCCAGCGAAAGCGUUAAGCACUCCACCUGGGGAGUACGCCGGCAANCGGUGA
rnacentral:rRNA from 1 species